UACGUAGGUGGCGAGCGUUGUCCGGAUUUACUGGGCGUAAAGCGCGCGCAGGCGGCAGUCUAAGUCCUCUGUGAAAUCACCCGGCUCAACUGGGUGGCUGCGGAGGAGACUGGGCAGCUUGAGGGGCCUAGAGGCCGGUGGAACUCCCGGUGUAGUGGUGAAAUGCGUAGAGAUCGGGAGGAACACCAGUGGCGAAGGCGGCCCUCUGGGCCGGGCCGACGCUGAGACGCGAGGGCGUGGGGAGCAAACAGGG
rnacentral:rRNA from 1 species